CCUGAACGCUGGCGGCGUGGCUAAGACAUGCAAGUCGCACAGGGCCCGCAAGGGUCCAGUGGCGGACGGGUGAGUAAUGAAUCGCUAAUGUACCCCGAUGUCUGGGAUAGCUGCCCGAAAGGGCAGGUAAUACCAGAUGAGACCACAGGCAGGCAUCUGCUGGUGCUCAAAGGGUCACCGCAUUGGGAGCAGGCGAUUUCGUAUCAGCAGUUGGUGAGGUAACGGCUCACCAAGGCGACGACGCGUAGCCGGGCUGAGGAGGUCGGCCGGCCACAUUGGGACUGAGACACUGCCCAGACUCCGUACGGGGGG
rnacentral:rRNA from 1 species